CUGCCAUACACGUUAUGUGUCUGUGAGCGAGGGAGGGAGAGAAAGGAAAAGUCCGAGCUGUCACGGAGCAAAAACGGGAGCUGGAAGCAUGUAAAUAUAAUAAUAACCACAGCAGCCAAGAAGAGUGCCUGAGGAGCCCAUUUAGCUCAAACAGAGGGCAGCCGGUUGAUCAGGGAAACCGAAGGCAGGAGAAGCACACCUGAGGCGGCGCCGGUCCAAGCGUCAGGUGAGCUGAAUUUCAGGUAAGAAGUUAUGAACUGCACUCUAUCUGGGUCAGAUAUAAACCGAGUUUAGGUGUAGUUUAUUUUCUUUGUGCUGACUUUUUACAAUCAGUUACAAUAACUCGUACUGCGUGCUAGCUAGCACGGCGGAGUUUCCAUACAGCCGUGUGCGUG
ensembl:lncRNA